UACGGCCUGGGUGGACCAGGACAAACACACAGGUGACUACAUCAUGAAGCUGGUUGAGAGAAUGUCAAGAGUGUGCAAAGAUGUCAUCAAGGUGUCACGACUUCCGCCGAAGUCGGCUCCUCUCCCUGUUCAGGCGGCAUUCGACGGUCGACAUCACCGGCUUUCUAGCCAUCGCCACUCCAUUUUUCAUGUAUCCAUUUGUUUUGUCUUGUUCUCUGCACACCUGGUUUUCAUUCCCCAAACAAUUCAUAUGUAUUUAUUCCUCUGUUCCCCAUCAUGUAUUUGUGUAGGAUUGUUUGUGUUACGUGUAUUUUGAUAUUGUGGAUAUUGUUACGCGCAUUACUUUUUGUCUAUGUUCCGUGUUUUGGGCACAUUUUAUGUUAUUUUGUGCUGUCAUUUUGACCGGAAUAAAAGUGCGCCUGUUCACGACA